rnacentral:rRNA from 1 species
GACGAACGCUGGCGGCGUGCUUAACACAUGCAAGUCGAACGGAAAGGCCCUGCUUUUGUGGGGUGCUCGAGUGGCGAACGGGUGAGUAACACGUGAGUAACCUGCCCUUGACUUUGGGAUAACUUCAGGAAACUGGGGCUAAUACCGGAUAGGAGCUCCUGCUGCAUGGUGGGGGUUGGAAAGUUUCGGCGGUUGGGGAUGGACUCGCGGCUUAUCGGCUUGUUGGUGGGGUAGUGGCUUACCAAGGCUUUGACGGGUAGCCGGCCUGAGAGGGUGACCGGCCACAUUGGGACUGAGGUACGGCCCAGACUGCUACGGGCGGCAGCAGUGGGAAAUGUUGCACAAUGGGCGGAAGCCUGAUGCAGCAACGCCGGGUGCGGGAUGACGGCCUUCGGGGUGUGAACCGCUUUCGCCUGUGACGAAGCGUGAGUGACGGUAAUGGGUAAAGAAGCACCGGCUAACUACGUG